UCAAAUUUGAAAUCUGGCUCUUUCAGAGUCCGAGUUGUAAUUUGAAGAAGGUAUCUUUGGGUCUGGCUCUUGUCUAUGUUUCUUGGAACAGAACGUCACAGAGGGUGAGAAUCCCGUGCGAUGAGAUGAUCCAGGCCUAUGUAAAGUUCCUUCGAAGAGUCGAGUUGUUUGGGAAUGCAGCUCUAAGUGGGUGGUAAAUUCCAUCUAAAGCUAAAUAUUGGCGAGAGACCGAUAGCGAACAAGUACAGUGAUGGAAAGAUGAAAAGAACUUUGAAAAGAGAGUGAAAAAGUACGUGAAAUUGUUGAAAGGGAAGGGCUUGAGAUCAGACUUGGUAUUUUGUAUGUUACUUCUUCGGGGGUGGCCUCUACAGUUUAUCGGGCCAGCAUCAGUUUGGGCGGUAGGAGAAUUGCGUUGGAAUGUGGCACGGCUUCGGUUGUGUGUUAUAGCCUUCGUCGAUACUGCCAGCCUAGACUGAGGACUGCGGUUUAUACCUAGGAUGUUGGCAUAAUGAUCUUAAGUCGCCCGUCUUGA
rnacentral:rRNA from 1 species